rnacentral:rRNA from 1 species
GAUGAACGCUGGCGGCGUGCCAAAUACAUGCAAGUCGAGCGAAUGGAUUAAGAGCUUGCUCUUAUGAAGUUAGCGGCGGACGGGUGAGUAACACGUGGGUAACCUGCCCAUAAGACUGGGAUAACUCCGGGAAACCGGGGCUAAUACCGGAUAACAUUUUGAACCGCAUGGUUCGAAAUUGAAAGGCGGCUUCGGCUGUCACUUAUGGAUGGACCCGCGUCGCAUUAGCUAGUUGGUGAGGUAACGGCUCACCAAGGCAACGAUGCGUAGCCGACCUGAGAGGGUGAUCGGCCACACUGGGACUGAGACACGCCCCAGACUCCUACGGGAGGUAGCAGUAGGGAAUCUUCCGCAAUGGACGAAAGUCUGACGGAGCAACGCCGCGUGAGUGAUGAAAGCUUUCGGGUCGUAAAACUCUGUUGUUAGGGAAGAACAAGUGCUAGUUGAAUAAGCUGGCACCUUGACGGUACCUAACCAGAAAGCCACGGCUAACUACGUGCCAGCAGCCGCAGUAA